AUAAAGAGGGAGUGAGGCGCCUAGAAUGCAGCAGCGAGCAGCAACAGAUGCCGAGAAAAAGGAAGAGGACUCCCCCAAGGAGGAGAGGGGGUCUGGUAAGGCUAAGAAUAAGAGCAGAAAUAGGAAGUUCCAGGGUGCCUUUACUGACAUUACACGGGGAAUACCACUACCUCUGAGAGACUUGAGAGCAAUUGUGGAAACUAAACUCUCUUAUCAGGAGCUGCAAACACUGGAGGACAUCGCCCGUACGACAGCCUUUCGCGAUAAUCUUCCCUUGGAUGGGCGAAAUGUUUCCGCUCCACUUGGAGUUUGUCCAACUGUGUCUUUGAGAUGGCCGACGGAGAAACUGGUCUUUCUUAUUUGCCACGCAUGCGCCGAGAUUGGUCGGAAGCGUCGGGAAGUGAUCCAUUAGUAGUCCGGUAAUGACUCAACUUUACCGAGAGGUGGUGCUCCGAGGAGGGUCCCAGCUAGUGGCUGAGGCUAUGAGAGACAACCCAGCCAGUACAACGGCGACACCUGCUGAGUGGAAAACACACUUUUUACAUUCCUUACCCAGACAUACUAAAAAAGAACAAGUUAAUAAAGAUAAGGAUGCCCUACUGAAAAAAAUUUUUUUUACAUCUACAGGUGCAAGAGGCAAAGCUGGAAAAAUUCACAGUCUAUUAAGAAGGAGAAACAACUGGUGCAGCAGAGGACCACGACCACCGCUCCACCUGCUGCAGCUCAGACUCCAAGUGAGGUGCACUAUUACCAAUUGGGAACGCCACGCCAAACCAAUCAGCGAGGGCGUGGACAAGAAGCGAGCGGCAUAUGCAAGGAGAGAAGGAGAGUGAAGGGGAACACAAGAGGGCUGCACCUUGUGCGGAGUGUCGAUGCCAUGCUUAAGGGCAGCUCAACAGUAGUUAAGAAGCAGACUACAGUAGCUUUUUACAAGCAUACAAAGUUAAAGGAUCACUUUGUCUUCUGGUCUUGGACGUGGACAGCAAGCCUCCAGUGAAAGCAAUCCUUGGGUUGGGGUCCACUGGUCCAGAUGUUUGCGAAAUGUUUGACGUGGUGUCUAAGGAACUGUCGGCUUCCACAGCCAUGACAUCAUCAUCUUCAUCAGGCUCUCUGAGCACUUCAUGUGAACGCCUUGUUUGACACUUUACAACAAGAAGAUAGUUCUCAACAGAGGAGCCAUCAUGGAAGAAUGACACAAGUAUUCACUUUUUUAACAACUCAAAACGUGAGUCUGCUGUUAAGUGUGCGUUGUGUGUCUGAUUUAGCUGCAGACCCCCAAACAUCGUACAACUCAGGGUCCACACCAUAUACAGACACGCACACAGCACAUCAAAGCAUGUGUUGACAUUGCCAUCUUUGCCCUUCAGCUGUAUGAACUCCAUGCGGGCAGUGGCGUCAUCUGCCAUGUCGUGGCUACACAUGCUCUCUUGGAUGAUGCACGUAUGUGAGGACACAAAGCAUAGGAAGCCAUUAACAAACACACAUACAGUAAUCAUCUGGUAGCCAUUAGCAGCUAGUCAAUGGCAACAAGUUCACAUGGGUGGGGCUCACACAUCACUGCAUAGUCUUCUCAUGAUGUACGCGUGUGUGUCUGUGUGUGUGUGUGUGUGUGUGUGUGCGCGCGAAGUGUGUGCGUGUGUGUGUGUGUUUUCCCAUCAUUCUCGCUUUGUGAUUAAAGGGGAAUUCCAUCCAAGGUUUGCAUGCUUGCAAACACGC